AGUGGCGGACGGGUGAGUAACGCGUGAGGAACCUGCCUUUCAGUGGGGGACAACAGUUGGAAACGACUGCUAAUACCGCAUAAUGUAUUCUGACCGCAUGAUCGGAAUACCAAAGAUUUAUUGCUGAAAGAUGGCCUCGCGUCUGGUUAGAUAGUUGGUGAGGUAACGGCCCACCAAGUCGACGAUCAGUAGCCGGACUGAGAGGUUGAACGGCCACAUUGGGACUGAGAUACGGCCCAGACUCCUACGGGAGGCAGCAGUGGGGAAUAUUGGGCAAUGGGGGAAACCCUGACCCAGCAACGCCGCGUGAAGGAAGAAGGCUUUCGGGUUGUAAACUUCUUUUACCAGGGACGAAGGACGUGACGGUACCUGGAGAAAAAGCCACGGCUAACUACGUGCCAGCAGCCGCGGUAAUACGUAGGUGGCAAGCGUUGUCCGGAUUUACUGGGUGUAAAGGGCGUGUAGGCGGAGAAGCAAGUCAGAAGUGAAAUCCAUGGGCUUAACCCAUGAACUGCUUUUGAAACUGUUUCCCUUGAGUAUCGGAGAGGCAGGCGGAAUUCCUUAGUGUAGCGGUGAAAUGCGUAGAUAUUAGGAGGAACACCAGUGGCGAAGGCGGCCU
rnacentral:rRNA from 1 species